rnacentral:rRNA from 1 species
GACAGCAGCAGCCGCGGGAAUACGAAGGGGGCUAGCGUUGUUCGGAAUUACUGGGCGUAAAGCGCACGUAGGCGGACAUUUAAGUCAGGGGUGAAAUCCCGGGGCUCAACCCCGGAACUGCCUUUGAUACUGGGUGUCUAGAGUAUGGAAGAGGUGAGUGGAAUUCCGAGUGUAGAGGUGAAAUUCGUAGAUAUUCGGAGGAACACCAGUGGCGAAGGCGGCUCACUGGUCCAUUACUGACGCUGAGGUGCGAAAGCGUGGGGAGCAAACAGGAUUAGAUACCCCAGUAGUCCCUGUCUCUUAUAC